UUAACCCAUUUAACAUUUCAACCCGUCAAAUUAAAUGAGUUAUGGGUUGACCCAAUCCAUAUAACAAAAUGAGUUGGGUCAACCCAUAACUCAUUUAACUCUCAACUCAUUUGAUUAUGAGU